rnacentral:rRNA from 1 species
UAGUCUCGCACAGAUGCAUAUCAAUAAGCGGAGGAAAAGAAACUAACAAGGAUUCCCCUAGUAACGGCGAGUGAAGCGGGAAGAGCUCAAAUUUGAAAUCUUAAAGGGUUUCCCUUUACGAAUUGUAGUUUAAAGAAGUGUUUUCUGUUGAGGUUUUGGUAAAAGUUCUUUGGAAUAGGACAUCAUAGAGGGUGAGAAUCCCGUAUUUGACCUUUACUUUCAACUUUGUGAUACACUUUCAAAGAGUCGGAUUGUUUGGGAAUGCAGUCCAAAAUGGGUGGUAAAUUUCAUCUAAAGCUAAAUAUUGGCGAGAGACCGAUAGCGAACAAGUACCGUGAGGGAAAGAUGAAAAGAACUUUGAAAAGAGAGUUAAACAGUACGUGAAAUUGUCAAAAGGGAAGCGUUCGACACCAGUGUUGUUUUUCUGAAAAUCAAUUAAAGAACUGUUUAUGCUAAGCUGUUUAGACUUUAUCAGCUAUCUGUUUAGUUUUGAGCUUUUCUUUAAUGCACUUUUCAGUUAACAAGUCAACAUCAAUUUCUUUUGCUGUAAAAAAGCUUGAGGAAGGUGGCUUGAGAUUCGUCUUAAGUGUUUAUAGCCUCUUGCCUAUGCAGUCGGAGAGAUUGAGGUCUGCAGCGUAGAUCCUUCGGGGCUAAAUGCAUUUGUGCUAAGUUAUAGCAUUUUAUAGACAACUUGUUGACUAUGAUUUGUCUUGUAGCUUACUCGCUUAUGUUAUUUUACCUACGCUUAGGAUGUUGAUGUGAUACUGCGAGCA